rnacentral:lncRNA from 1 species
GUCUUCUUCUAGGGUUUUUGUUUUCAUAUCUUUUCUCUCUCCAUCUUGAGUUUCCUGAGAGCGUCUCGGAUCUGAAACUCCUCCUUCUACUUUCCAUCUUUGGAAGAGUCCAAAUCAAGAAGAAGGAGGCACCUGAUCAACCAUCAAAGAAGGAUCAGCGCAGUACUAGCAUACUGUGCUGAUUUCCUGAAGCAGGACUUCUGAUCGAGAUUCGUGGGCUCGUGUGGAUGACUCCUAGAGGCCAGACGCGUGUGUGGCUUGCAACAUCAUCCUUAAGCCCGGAUCAACGAGGUUAGAGCAUCUAACUUGCAAGGUAAUAGAUCUGAUCUAUUGUUUAAUACAUACAUUAGAUGUGGUAUAGAAACAUGUUGAUAUGAUCAACAUGUAGUUCAUGCUAUAUUUAUAUAUUUUAAUUUAUGAUUUAAUGCUAUGUAAU